AAAUGCGGACCUGCUUCUUCCUCUUUUGACGGUGUUUCGAUAACUCAGUUAGACUUCGAGAUCUACAUUUUCGACAAAGGCCUGGUGUAAUAUUAUUACGUACUUGAUGAAGGUAAUAUUAAUUUCUUCAAAUUUGAAGCAUGACGUUAAUGGAGUACCAGCACAACUUCAUUGACUGCUACGUGGCGCUGGUGGAAACUAAGGUUUAAUGACACGAAUGAGUACAAGUACAUUACAUUUUUCGACGAAGGCCUUCUGUAAUUUCAUACGCUUCUUACGCAACAUUCAAUAGAUUUAUUUACUGUAUUAUCAUUUCGACCAAGGCGAAUUCGACACUUCAAUUACACAAGGUUAGUAACUUUUGUUCACAAAAUCCAAAUGGAGGCAAAUACAGAACAAUCAAACUUAGUCAUUCCAGUCAGUUACUGAAGCACAGUGAAAACUGUCGGGAGCAGUGCAACUGAUGGCAUGUCAAACUUCCAGUGACUGUCCCUGUCCAUAUAUUUCAAGACAGUACAAAUCUUGUAAUCAUUUUGUUUAUGCAAUGUACGUUAUUAUGUAUCAUUUCAGCACAAUCAAACUUAGUCAUUCCAGUCAGUUACUGAAGCACAGCGAAAACUGUCUGAAUUAGUGCUGCUGAUGGCAUGUAAUUACUCUACUACCACUACCUGUGACAGUCAAUGUCCAAAUAUUUUCAAGUGUGCGAAAUUAGUACUCGUCUACUUCUUAGUGUUAUUUGAAUGCAAUGUAUGUUAUAAAAAUAUUUUUUCAACACUAUAUCAACAUUCUCAUUCCUGUCAGUUUCUGAAAAUCAGCUAAAGCAAUCGCUACCAAUGCAGCUGAUAACCGCAAUUCUUUUUGUUCCCAAUGCCCAUCCAUGACAAUAUAUUUCACGCAUGUGACAAUCAUGUAAUCAUCCUGUUUUUUGUGUUCUAUUCAUGCAAUAAAUAAAUUCAGUAUUUUCAAAUCAUUGGUGCUACAAAACUAUUCUCAUUAUAGAUUAUUCAUAUUUUAUAAAAUGCUGUCAUGUCAAAUUUUGUGUCCUAUAAAUCAUAAUGAAGUCGGCAUUUUAUAUACAACUUUUGUACUCCUCCUAAAUAAACAUACAAAUCUUGUUUUAUGUAAACUUUGUAUAUGUGACCCGUCACAGCAAAACCAGGCGCAUGUCGCUCUGAGCUUGGCAGGUUGAGACGGACUGUUCUAAUCUUUCAUUAGCGACACCAUUUCUUACCAGAGUGCCUCCUUCAUUCAUACAUCUUGUACUUUAACUCAAGAUACCCAUCUUUGAAUAUUUUUAGUAUACCAAGUACUACAAUGUCAAUGUAUUGAAGUCAUGUUCUUGUAGUGUUAUUGGCUUUCUAUUAUCUUGUCAAAAUACCACUUGGUUCUCGCAAAAUCUCAAUAAAAACAAAUGCUAUUGCAUGUAUUGCAUAUUCUAACAGCUAUCCACUGUAUCGAUUUAUCCAUCAUCUGUACUAUUUGUCACAAAAAUGUUAUAUUAUGUAAAUCAUAUUUCAUUACAUAAUGCACACUGCCAAUUACUGCUGAACCAUUCAUAUGUCAUUUAAAUAAAUAAUUU